rnacentral:tRNA from 1 species
GUAUAGCUCAGUGGUAGAGUGCAUGACUAGUAUGCAUGAGGUCAUGGGUUCAAUCUCCAGUAC